rnacentral:rRNA from 1 species
UACGUAGGGGGCGAGCGUUGUCCGGAUUUAUUGGGCGUAAAGAGCUCGUAGGCGGUUCGAUAAGUCGGACGUGAAAUCUCCACGCUCAACGUGGAGGGGCCGUUCGAUACUGUCGUGACUCGAGUCCGGUAGGGGAGUGUGGAAUUCCCGGUGUAGCGGUGAAAUGCGCAGAGAUCGGGAGGAACACCCGUAGCGAAGGCGGGUCUCUGGACAGUUCCUGACGCUGAGGCACGAAGGUCAGGGGAGCAAACGGG